UGGGGAAUAUUGCACAAUGGGCGCAAGCCUGAUGCAGCCAUGCCGCGUGUAUGAAGAAGGCCUUCGGGUUGUAAAGUACUUUCAGCGGGGAGGAAGGGAGUAAAGUUAAUACCUUUGCUCAUUGACGUUACCCGCAGAAGAAGCACCGGCUAACUCCGUGCCAGCAGCCGCGGUAAUACGGAGGGUGCAAGCGUUAAUCGGAAUUACUGGGCGUAAAGCGCACGCAGGCGGUUUGUUAAGUCAGAUGUGAAAUCCCCGGGCUCAACCUGGGAACUGCAUCUGAUACUGGCAAGCUUGAGUCUCGUAGAGGGGGGUAGAAUUCCAGGUGUAGCGGUGAAAUGCGUAGAGAUCUGGAGGAAUACCGGUGGCGAAGGCGGCCCCCUGGACGAGGACUGACGCUCCGGUGCGAAAGCGUGGGGAGCAAACAGG
rnacentral:rRNA from 1 species